AAGGGAAGAAGGUGUACCGAAAGGAGCGCUGGACAUUACACAAGAGAGAAUGCUGGCAUAAGUAGCGAAAGGUGAGUGAGAAUCUCACCCGUCGAAAACCCAAGGUUUCCUGAGGAAGGCUCGUCCACUCAGGGUAAGUCGGGACCUAAGCCCAGGCUGAAAAGCGUAGGCGAUGGACAACAGGUUAUAAUUCCUGUACUAGUGAUAAUCGUUUGAGAGAUGUGGGGACGCAGAAGGAUAUGUUGAGCGUGCGGUUGGAAGAGCACGUCCAAGUAUGUAGGUAGGGAAGACAGGCAAAUCCGUUUUCCUGUAUAAUACCGAGGUACGAUGGGGAUCGAAAAACAAGUAGAGAAGCAACAGACUCCACGCUGCCAAGAAAAGCCACUAUCGAGAUUAAAACUACCCGUACCGCAAACCGACACAGGUAGGUGAGGAGAGAAUCCUAAGACGAGCGGAAGAACCUUUGUUAAGGAACUCGGCAAAAUAGCCCCGUAACUUCGGGAGAAGGGGUGCCGGUUAGCGUGGACAUCAAACGAUGUAUAAAGCGUGGACCGGCCGCAGUGAAUAGGCCCAAGCGACUGUUUACCAAAAACACAAGUCUCUGCUAAGUCGAAAGACGAAGUAUAGGGGCUGACACCUGCCCGGUGCUGGAAGGUUAAGGGGAAUGCUUAGCGCAAGCGAAGGUAUGAACUUAAGCCCCAGUAAACGGCGGCCGUAACUAUAACGGUCCUAAGGUAGCGAAAUUCCUUGUCGGGUAAGUUCCGACCCGCACGAAAGGUGUAACGAUUUGGGCACUGUCUCAACAAAGGAUCCGGUGAAAUUGUAGUACUCGUGAAGAUGCGAGUUACCCGCGACAGGACGGAAAGACCCCGUGGAGCUUUACUGCAGGCUGACAUUGGAUUUUGGCAUUGCAUGUACAGGAUAGGUGGGAGACUAGGAAGCAAGUGCGCCAGUAUUUGUGGAGUCGCCCUUGGGAUACCACUCUUGUGAUGCUGGAAUUCUAACCUGGUACCGUGAAACCGGUAUGGGGACACUGUCAGUUGGGCAGUUUGACUGGGGCGGUCGCCUCCUAAAGAGUAACGGAGGCGCUCAAAGGUUUCCUCAGCACGGUCGGAAAUCGUGCGAAGAGUGUAAAGGCAGAAGGAAGCUUGACUGCGACACCAACAAGUGGAGCAGGAACGAAAGUUGGACUUAGUGAUCCGGUGGUACCGCGUGGAAGGGCCAUCGCUCAACGGAUAAAAGCUACCCCGGGGAUAACAGGCUUAUCUCCCCCAAGAGUCCACAUCGACGGGGAGGUUUGGCACCUC
rnacentral:rRNA from 1 species